rnacentral:rRNA from 1 species
CCUGGUUGAUCCUGCCAGUAGUCAUAUGCUUGUCUCAAAGAUUAAGCCAUGCAUGUGUAAGUACAGGCCGACUUAAGGCGAAACCGCGGACGGCUCAUUAAAUCAGAUAUAACUCAUUGGAUCUCUGCUGAACCGCAUUACUUGGAUAACUGUGGUAAUUCUAGAGCUAAUACAUGCCUUUGUAGUCUCCGACCGCGAGGGAGGAGCGCUUUUAUUAGACCAAAACCCUCGGCAGCCGGUUCCCGCAAGGGGCCGGCCGCACACAUCUUGGUGAAUCAGAAUAACUUUUGCCGAGCGCACGACCCCUCCCGUAACCCGGGUUGGGUCGGCGCCGCGUCCUGCAGGCGUCUGCCUUAUCAGCUCUCGAUUGUAGGUUAAACGCCUACAAUGGCUAUCACGGGUAACGGGGAAUCAGGGUUCGAUUCCGGAGAGGGAGCCUGAGAAACGGCUACCACAUCUAAGGAAGGCAGCAGGCGCGCAAAUUACCCACUCCCGGCACGGGGAGGUAGUGACGAAAAAUACUGUUGCGAGCCCCGAACGGGGCCUCGCAAUUGGAAUGAGUACACUUUAAAUCCUUGUACGAGGAUCGAGUGGAGGGCAAGUCUGGUGCCAGCCGCCGCGGUAAUUCCAGCUCCACUAGCGUAUAUUAAAGUUGUUGCGGUUGAAACGCUCGUAGUUUGACUUCUGCUCCGGCGGCCGCCAGCGCGCACGAUGUGUGCGGCGUUUUUAUGCCCUUAACCGGGUGUCCCCUUGUGGCCGGCACGUUUACUUUGAAAAAAUUAGAGUGCUCAGAGCAGGCUGGUUUUUGCUUACAGCCCGAAUGGUCGUGCAUGGAAUGAUGGAACAGGACCUCGGUUCUAUUUUGUCGGUUUUUCGGAACCCGAGGUAAUGAUUAAUAGAAGCAGACGGGGCAUUCGUACUGCGACGCUAGAGGUGAAAUUCUUAGACCGUCGCAUGACGACCUACUGCGAAAGCAUCUGCCAAGGAUGUUUUCAUUGAUCAAGAACGAAAGUUAGAGGUUCGAAGGCGAUCAGAUACCGCCCUAGUUCUAACCUUAAACGAUGCUGACUAGCGAUCCGCCGCAGUUAUUCCCAUGACCCGGCGGGUAGCUUCCGGGAAACCAAAGUCUUUGAGUUCCGGGGGAAGUAUGGUUGCAAAGCUGAAACUUAAAGGAAUUGACGGAAGGGCACCACCAGGAGUGGAGCCUGCGGCUCAAUUUGACUCAACACGGGGAAACUCACCAGGCCAGGACACCGGAAGGAUUGACAGAAUGAAGGCUCUUUCUCGAUUCGGUGGGUGGUGGUGCAUGGCCGUUCUUAGUUGGUGGAGUGAUCUGUCUGGUUAAUUCCGAUAACGAACGAGACUCUAGCCUGCUAAAUAGUCGACGGAUCUCAACCCCGUUGCCCCGUUGUCGUUCGCGGCGAUGCGGGGCGCGGGUUCCCCGAAACCCGGUCGUCGUGCGGGCCUCCACCGUCGGUCGGUUAGCGCCGCCGGCGGCGCGCCCCGCGGCGCCGGAAACUGGCGUCCGCUUCGCAGUCUUCUUCUUAGAGGGAUAAGCGGCAGCAAAAAAUAUACUAGCCGCACGAGAGUUUGAGCCAUAACAGGUCUGUGAUGCCCUUAGAUGUUCUGGGCCGCACGCGCGCUACAAUGGAGAGUUCAGCGAGCUGGCCCUGCUCCGAGAGGAGCGGGUAACCUCGUGAAAGCUGUCCUUAAAGGGGAUUGGGGCUUGCAAAUGUUCCCCAUGAACGAGGAAUUCCCAGUAGGCGCAAUUCACCAGAUUGCGCCGAUUUAGUCCCUGCCCUUUGUACACACCGCCCGUCGCUACUACCGAUUGAAUGGUCUAGUGAGGGCACCGGACUGGCGCCCUUGGAGCCGCUACCGCCUCGGCGGGCAGCGCCCUCGGGUCGACGGAAAGGUGUCCAAGCUGGGUCAUUUAGAGGAAGUAAAAGUCGUAACAAGGUUUCCGUAGGUGAACCUGCGGAAG